AUACUUCGAUAUAGUUUUACCUUUAGUUGGGAUUAUUAUAUUUGCUAAUAUUAUUUACUUAUAUUAAAUAUUUAUAUUUAACUAAGGUUGUGUCAGUGUAAUUAAACUUUCAACUAAUUACACUGGCACAACCGUAGAGUCAGAUGUGCGAUGCAACUGUGUGAUUUAUUGUACUGUACAUGUCAGGAUUUACAGACAGUACACUUGACAUCGAUCAACUCGUUUACUCAUUCAGAGGUGCGCCCUUCUACCUGUACAGUGGGGCCCUGUUUUCCCCGAUUAUUAUUAGUGUUGCCAUUACAGACUGUGUUUCAUUUGAAGGAAUUAUCUAUUGAUCAGUGCCAUAUCUGGACCGAGAGUAAAAGUCGUUGAUAGUAUGGAGGUCAACCG